rnacentral:sRNA from 1 species
UUGAUCGUGCUAUACUAAUGGAUGCAAGCAAGUUUAUCGUGGUGCACCGGCCUUUUUCUAGCAAAGAAAGUAGGUGGUGCUGAUGCUAUUUUUAAGCGCCUUCCGGAAAGGAAACGCAAAUGUCUGUUUUUGAAGCACUUUCACUAGCAAUCGGUUUUUUCGGUCUAGUGAUUCUGCUGACAAACGGUAA